rnacentral:tRNA from 2 species
GGGGCUUUAGCUCAGUUGGGAGAGCGCGUCGUUCGCAAUGACGAUGUCGGGGGUUCAAAUCCCCCCAGCUCCACCA